rnacentral:rRNA from 1 species
GAUCUCCGCGGGCCUAUUACAGCUUGUUGGUGAGUAUGCUCACAGUSACGACGUAACGGCUGAGRGGGUGACGGCCACCUGGACUGAGACACGCCCAAUCCUACGGGAAGGCAGCAGUGGGGGAUAUGCACAUGGGCGCAAGCUGAUGCAGSGACGCGCGUGAGGGAUGACGGCUUUCGGGUKUAACCUCYUUCAGUAGGGAAGAAGSGAAAGUGACGGUACCUGCAGAAGAAGCACGGCUAACUACGUGCCAGCAGCCGCGGUAAUACGUAGGGGUGCGAGCGUUAUCCGGAAUUAUUGGGCGUAAAGAGCUCGUAGGCGGUUUGUCGCGUCUGUCGUGAAAGUCCGGGGCUUAACCCCGGAUCUGCGGUGGGUACGGGCAGACUAGAGUGCAGUAGGGGAGACUGGAAUUCCUGGUGUAGCGGUGGAAUGCGCAGAUAUCAGGAGGAACACCGAUGGCGAAGGCAGGUCUCUGGGCUGUAACUGACGCUGAGGAGCGAAAGCAUGGGGAGCGAACAGGAUUAGAUACCCUGGUAGUCCAUGCCGUAAACGUUGGGCACUAGGUGUGGGGACCAUUCCACGGUUUCCGCGCCGCAGCUAACGCAUUAAGUGCCCCGCCUGGGGAGUACGGCCGCAAGGCUAAAACUCAAAGGAAUUGACGGGGGCCCGCACAAGCGGCGGAGCAUGCGGAUUAAUUCGAUGCAACGCGAAGAACCUUACCAAGGCUUGACAUGUUCUCGAUCGCCGUAGAGAUACGGUUUCCCCWUUGGGGCGGGUUCACAGGUGGUGCAUGGUUGUCGUCAGCUCGUGUCGUGAGAUGUUGGGUUAAGUCCCGCAACGAGCGCAACCCUCGUUCCAUGUUGCCAGCACGUMRUGGUGGGGACUCAUGGGAGACUGCCGGGGUCAACUCGGAGGAAGGUGAGGACGACGUCAAAUCAUCAUGCCCCUUAUGUCUUGGGCUUCACGCAUGCUACAAUGGCCGGUACAAUGGGUUGCGAUACUGUGAGGUGGAGCUAAUCCCAAAAAGCCGGUCUCAGUUCGGAUUGGGGUCUGCAACUCGACCCCAUGAAGUCGGAGUCGCUAGUAAUCGCAGAUCAGCAACGCUGCGGUGAAUACGUUCCCGGGCCUUGUACACACCGCCCGUCAAGUCACGAAAGUUGGUAACACCCGAAGCCGGUGGCCUAACCCUUGUGGGGGAGCCGUCGAAGRUUAGYSMCSCU